UACGUAGGUGGCAAGCGUUGUCCGGAUUUAUUGGGUUUAAAGGGUGCGUAGGCGGCUUUGUAAGUCAGUGGUGAAAUAUGGCAGCUCAACUGUCAAGGUGCCAUUGAUACUGCGGAGCUUGAGUACAGAUGAGGUAGGCGGAAUUGACGGUGUAGCGGUGAAAUGCGCAGAUAUCAGGAGGAACACCGGUGGCGAAGGCGGAUCUCUGGGGCCUUACCUGACGCUCAGGCGCGAAAGCUAGGGGAGCGAACAGG
rnacentral:rRNA from 1 species